CUUAGUAAGUGCAUUUAUUGAAGAUGAGCUGUGUUUUUAGAAGUCAAUUGCUAAUUAGUGAAACAGACAAGAAAAUGAUUCGACAGUACUGCCCAACUGUAGGAAAAGGUUCCUGCUUGAAUUCCUGCCCUGACUUCCCUCAAGAUCAACUGAACGAACCAUUCUCUUCCUCAAGUUGCUUUUGGUCAUGGUUGGUGUUUAUCACAGCAACAGAAGCGUAACUAGAGCAUCGGGGGUCCCAGACUGAAUAAAAAGAGACAAUAAAGAAGGCACUGCAUCCAUCUCUCUGUGCUUCCUGACUGUGGAAGCAUUGGGACCAGCCAUCUCAGGCUCUAGCUGCCGUGACAUCCCCCAUCAUGAUGGAUGGCACCCUUGAACUGUGAACCAGAAUCAUCCUGUUCUUCCUUAAGCUAUGGACAUGCUGAAGUCACUUACUGAUGCAAUGGUUCCCUGCCAGUGUUCCUGGAGCCGUCUGUGGAAAGUCCUUGAAAGGGAGAGGUCCAAACAUUGAUGGCUUAUAUUCUACCUUCAGUGAACUGUGAAUGCCUCUGCAUCUGAGAGUUGCAGUUAAUCAUUUGAAAACAUGCUAAGAAACUUGGAAUUUUGAAUGUGCAA